rnacentral:rRNA from 1 species
GAGUUUGAUCGUGGCUCAGGAUGAACGCUGGCGGCGUGCCUAAUACAUGCAAGUAGAACGCUGAAGCUUGGUGCUUGCACCGAGCGGAUGAGUUGCGAACGGGUGAGUAACGCGUAGGUAACCUGCCUGGUAGCGGGGAUAACUAUUGGAAACGAUAGCUAAUACCGCAUAACAGUAGAUAUUGCAUGAUAUCUGCUUGAAAGGUGCAAUUGCAUCACUACCAGAUGGACCUGCGUUGUAUUAGCUAGUUGGUGAGGUAACGGCUCACCAAGGCGACGAUACAUAGCCGACCUGAGAGGGUGAUCGGCCACACUGGGACUGAGACACGGCCCAG